AAAAACAUUUCCUCCUAGAUCAGGAGGUAAGGCCUGCUCACUGAAGAUUUAAAGAGCCGCAGUAUCCUGACUGUGCUAAGGUAGCAUAAUCAUUAGUCUUUUAAUUGAGGACUGGUAUGAAUGGCUUAACGAGAAAUUGACUUUUUUUGUUAUAUAAAUCGAAUUUAAUUUUUUAGUGAAAAAGCUAAAAUUUUUCAGAAAGACGAGAAGACCCUAUAGAGUUUCAUGUUCAAUUAUAUUUUUAAUUAUUAGACUUUUUAAUUAUUGAUAUAAUAAAACAUUUUGUUGGGGCGACAUUAAGAUAUAAAAAACUCUUAUUUUUUAAAAUUUUUUUGAAAAUAUUUAUUGAUCCUUUAAAAAAGAUUAUAAGAAGAAAUUACCUUAGGGAUAACAGCGUAAUCUUUUUUGAGAGUUCUAAUCGACAAAAAGGUUUGCGACCUCGAUGUUGGACUAAAAUUUAGACAAGGUGUAGCAGCUUUGUUUUAAGGUCUGUUCGACCUAUAAUA
rnacentral:rRNA from 1 species